rnacentral:rRNA from 1 species
CACCGCGGUUAUACGAGAGGCCCAAGUUGAUAGACUCCGGCGUAAAGCGUGGUUAAGAUGAAUUUUAAACUAAAGCCGAACACCCUCAGAGCUGUUAUACGUUCCCGAGAGUAAGAAGCCCAAUCACGAAAGUGGCUUUAUACCAACUGAACCCACGAAAGCUAUGACA